rfam:Salmo salar isolate Sally breed double haploid chromosome ssa22, whole genome shotgun sequence.
GUAAAGAGGAUAUGUAAGUCGCUCUGGAUAAGAGCGUCUGCUAAAUGACGUAAA